GCAUAUGAAUCACAACAUAUGAUAGAAAUAAGUCUCACACUAGUCCAAGUCUCACAUCACACAAAGAAAAGAUAGCAGAUAAGAGCAAACCAAGUUCAAAGCAAACACGAUAAAGAUAAGCAACGCUAAAGCAAAGCGCAAAGCGAAAAUCUAGCUCCUAGACUCUCUCCCCCUUUGACACAAGACACCAAAAAGGGGCACACCUAAUGACAUAGGUGGUCACUCCGCAUCCUCAUCAGCCCCAGACUCGUCCGUG
rnacentral:lncRNA from 1 species